CGGCGGACGGGUGAGUAAUGCCUAGGAAUCUGCCUGGUAGUGGGGGACAACGUUUCGAAGGGAACGCUAAUACCGCAUACGUCCUACGGGAGAAAGCAGGGGACCUUCGGGCCUUGCGCUAUCAGAUGAGCCUAGGUCGGAUUAGCUAGUUGGUGAGGUAAUGGCUCACCAAGGCGACGAUCCGUAACUGGUCUGAGAGGAUGAUCAGUCACACUGGAACUGAGACACGGUCCAGACUCCUACGGGAGGCAGCAGCC
rnacentral:rRNA from 1 species